rnacentral:rRNA from 1 species
UGAGGAACAUGACCUUCGGCGGGGGAGUAGCCGGCCCAACGGCCGGGUAAUACCGCGUACGACCACAUGGGGACAUCCCUGAGUGGUGAAAGCAGCAAUGCGCCGAUGGAGUGCCUCGCGGCCUAUCAGCUAGUUGGUGAGGUAACGGCUCACCAAGGCGACGACGGGUAGCUGGUCUGAGAGGAUGGCCAGCCACAUUGGGACUGAGACACCGGCCCAGACCUNUACCGGGGAGG